CGUCCAAUGGACGAUAUCACAGCAAUCACAAUGAGAAGAAUACAUCUAGAUACUCUUUUCAUUGGUUUCUGUGAAAUCGUAUUUGAAUG
ensembl:miRNA mir-797 ncRNA